rnacentral:hammerhead_ribozyme from 1 species
AUCCAGCUGACGAGUCCCAAAUAGGACGAAAUGCACUUCCUGGAU